CUGCUGUCUGAGUUCAGAGCGAGUUUAUCCUGGAGAGUUCAGCACAACGACCUCGGUUUAUCACUUUAAUUACUCACGUAAGUGUCUCAUUAUCUUAGGUUGUUAAUCUCAGACUGUUCUCAUUACCAAAAGUGACUUAAUCUGUUCAUUAAUCUGCUAGUUGACACUCUGAAUUAGCCUCACAGUUACUCAGCAGCUCAGCUCAAGUGUUAUCUAAGGGUCAGAGAAACGAAAUGAAGUAUGAGUUUUACUCUCAUUUUAGACUUGACAUAUUUAAUUUGUUUAAAAGAUGAUUUUUCUAGGAUGUUUCUGGUCUUAUUUCAAACUCACAUUUCCUCACAGAUGGUCACUGAAACUUGGAAAAUAUCUGAAUCACAGGGUGGAGCAGCUGUUUUAAAAGUGUGGGUGUUUAAGGGAAGGACAUGAGUAACACAACUCCUACACAUCAGAUUACAGUAUACAGUAAUAUUCACAUUAUCUUAUUGUUACUGCUUCACAAGUUUGUAUUCAGAGUCAGUGAAGUGUUGUUAUUCAGAUAGGAGGAUGGGGAAAGCAUCACUGAGAUUGUAAAUCAAUCAAAGGUUGACUUUUGAGUAUGGACAUCCUUAUAUCUAAGCAGGGGUUAACUUAAGUUCUUCUCUUUAGAAAUCUUUCCAUAUUUUAAAUUUCCAUCUCCUCCAGCAUGAAGCUGCGAGUUCGUCUCCGGCGUCGGACCAGAAGGGUGGAGUUACCAGGACAAGAACCCAGUUUGACUGAACUCAGAAACCUCAUCAAGGAGACACUUCUGUCCGCUCACGGACUCAGGUCAGACUCAACCACAGACCAGGACAAUGGUUAACUUUUGAGCAGUCUUAAAAGGGUUCACCUGAGCUUUAAGAAGAGUUUCACAUUUGUAUUUGGGACCAUUAAAGGGAUAUUCUGGCGUAAAGUUAAUUUAGGGUCAAACACACCGUAACACAGACUAAGACACCUCCUCGAGAGAUG